rnacentral:lncRNA from 1 species
UUUUGGCUUGGAGGCAGAGUGCCCCGCCAGAGCUACGCGUUCCCAGCCAGGUACCCUAUAUGCCAGGCACUGUGGCACACAAUUUCUGGCAUGUUCACAUCUACUGAAUUUCACAACAUCCUCACUAAACCAAGGAAGGCACGUGAUUAUAUUACUUUCAUUUUAUGGAUGCAGAAAACAGCUCAGAAAGGUAAGCUAUUCACCUGGAUCUCACUAAGGAAAAGUGUGGACCCUACAGCAGUGUUUUCAUAGGAUGGUGGAACACAGGGUGAUCAGGUAGGAGAAAAGGACAGAAUUAGAGUAAACUGCUAGAAUUGUUUAUAAUCCAAAAAAGCCUAUCUUAUCUAUGCUGCUGUCAGAUCAAUGCAAUCUAACGAUGACAGUAAAGGGAGUAUCACUCAAGAGAGCUUGGCAGAAAGAAACACAGCUCUGCCUUUUUUUUUUUUUUUUUUUUUGAGACAGAGUCUCUCUGUUGCCCAGGCUGGAGUGCAGUGGCACGAUCUCAGCUCACUGCAACCUCUGCCUCCCGGGUUCAAGCAAUUCUCCUGCUUCACCCUCCCAAGUGUCUGGGAUUACA